CUAAAGAGAGCUUGAAGUUAAGCGGUUCAUUUACAUUGAAUUGAUUGUGUCGCACACAUUUUUAGA
rnacentral:tRNA from 1 species